rnacentral:rRNA from 1 species
AUCUAUUUAAUUAUUAAGUUCCAACGGUAUAAGAUGAGCAUGCGUCCAUUAGCUAGUUGGUGUGGUAACGGCACACCAAGGCGACGAGUGGUAGGGGUCCUGAGAGGGAGAUCCCCCACACUGGUACUGAGACACGGACCAGACUCCUACGGGAGGCAGCAGUGAGGAAUAUUGGUCAAUGGGCGCAAGCCUGAACCAGCCAUGCCGCGUGCAGGAUGACGGUCCUAUGGAUUGUAAACUGCUUUUGUACAGGAAGAAACACUCCCUCGUGAGGGAGCUUGACGGUACUGUAAGAAUAAGGAUCGGCUAACUCCGUG